GAUGAACGCUGGCGGCGUGCCUAAUACAUGCAAGUCGAGCGAACAGACGAGGAGCUUGCUCCUCUGACGUUAGCGGCGGACGGGUGAGUAACACGUGGAUAACCUACCUAUAAGACUGGGAUAACUUCGGGAAACCGGAGCUAAUACCGGAUAAUAUAUUGAACCGCAUGGUUCAAUAGUGAAAGACGGUUUUGCUGUCACUUAUAGAUGGAUCCGCGCCGCAUUAGCUAGUUGGUAAGGUAACGGCUUACCAAGGCGACGAUGCGUAGCCGACCUGAGAGGGUGAUCGGCCACACUGGAACGGAGACACGGUCAAGACUCCUACGGGAGGCAGCAGUAGGGAAUCUUCCGCAAUGGGCGAAAGCCUGACGGAGCAACGCCGCGUGAGUGAUGAAGGUCUUCGGAUCGUAAAACUCUGUUAUUAGGGAAGAACAAAUGUGUAAGUAACUAUGCACGUCUUGACGGUACCUAAUCAGAAAGCCACGGCUAACUACGUG
rnacentral:rRNA from 1 species